rnacentral:lncRNA from 1 species
UUUGGAUCCAUCCAGCAAUCCUAAUGCUCUCCCCACUCAACACAGCAUGAGCAAGAAGCAUCAUCCGCUUCAUUUUAUAAAAAAGGUGCUUUAAUUUGGCAUAGAGAUCAUAUACUGAAAAUGAAGGAAAGCAAAGAAGAAGAAGAAGAAGAAGAAGAAGAAGACAUGGAUUCUCAUUUUUCUUUUCACAACAAACAGAGAAGAAUAAAAAUCAUGAAAAGCUUCAUGUCCUUUAGGACGAAUCCUUCUGUAUCAUUUAUAGCCACAAGUUUAUUGUUUUCUUAGUACCCAUUAAAAGAUAUUGUCACUUAGAGCAAAGAUAUUCAUGUGGGGAAGAGGGUCAAGUAGUAUUGUUUAGAUAGAGAUUUGGAUUGUUCCUCUUGGUGACUGGUUACCCCUACUUGGCUACUUACAUCACUUCUUCUAUUGCUCGCUCCUAUUGAUUUACAAUUCUA